rnacentral:misc_RNA from 1 species
AGCUGAAGGGCCAGAGGCUUAUCAUGUUGUUCUUAACUCCCUCAAUGGCAGUUUUAAAAAUUCGGGAUAACUUUACUUAAUAUCAUGCAAGUUGAAAACCUUUUCUUUCAAAAAUCAAAAUUCAUUCUCAAUGAUUCUCUUUCUCUUGAAACCAAUAUGUUGGUUGUAGUUGAGCUUAUUACUCAAUCAGGGGUCAUUGCUGCUGCCUAUUCUUUUUUUGUUUGCUCUUCUCUUUUCUGUUCUUUAAAAUCUUAUCCUUUAUUUGACAAAACAAUUGCUGUAUAGGAUCUCAUUUUUGUUUCUUGUUGGAUAGGAAUAUUAUAUCAGGCAUGUGGAUGGGUCCCCUAUUAGUUCUGAAGCAGAGAGGCAAAGGGUAAUCCACUGCUUGGAGGCAGCUAUUAGAAGGAGAACUCCUGAGGUAUAAACUUUUGUAAGUUCAACUUUGAUGCUAGUCUCCAAUUUUCUCCAUGUGUGAUUCAUAUUCAUGUUUCAACUCUUUGUAAUGCAGGGUAUAAGACUAGAACUUUGUGGUGAAGACAGGGUUGGCCUUUUGUCUGAGGUGACCCGCAUAUUUAGGGAAAAUGGUCUGUCAGUGACUCGAGCAGAGGUUACAACCAGGGGUUCCCAGGCUGUAAAUGUUUUCUAUGUGACUGAUGCAUCAGGACAUCCAGUGAAGAGUGAAACAAUUGAACUAGUUAGAAAAGAGAUUGGACUAACUAUACUCCGUGUGAAGGAUGAUGCUCAAUCGACUCCCCAGGAAAAUGGGAGAUUCUCCUUGGGUAAUCUCUUUCGAUCUAGAUCAGAGAAGUUCCUUUACAACUUGGGUUUAAUAAAGUCCUAUUCCUGAGCAGAUCAGUAGCUAAACUAGGAUCUGUGAGCUUGUGUACAUGUUAGUAUAGGUUGGCAUAGCAGCAUAGAUUUUAGCUUUAGGUCAAUCAGCUGUUGAUCUUGUGUCAUUCCUGAAACUUGCAACAAAUUUCAACUUGUAAAUCUUCUUGUGAAUAUCUUUUCAUAUCAUUGUUCUAUUUCUGUAUGGACUCAAUUGUUUCAUUUAUUCUACUGGGCCAUCUAUGAACCAUAUCCAUAAACAAGAAAUGCA